rnacentral:lncRNA from 1 species
GUAAGACUUCACUAUAUAUGAAUAUGAUAGAAUCCCUUUUCAUUCUAAAUAUAAUGAAAAAGAGUAGUUUCUCCUAUGUCUUCGCAUCAAAAAAAAAAUAUUUGUUCUCUCCUAGAAAGAAUUUUUUUUUCGUAAAAUCUCGUCUAAUAACUAACUAAUAACAAGUAAUAAAUUAAGGUUCUAUUCCAACACGGAACGAAAAGGACAAUAUACAGGAUGGGUAGAAAGAUUUGUGAUACUUCGCUCGAUUCAGGGAAACUACAGGAUAUAGAAAAAAUAUACCAAUCCUAAAGAUCCAUAGGAUUAAUUGUGGAUCC